CCUUCAUUGGAGCUAUUUGAAGAUUUUUGAAAAGCUACAAAGCAUGAAUAGCUCAAUAGUUCAACUCUUAGCUUCGGGAAAACUAAACGGAGAUAAUUAUUCAACGUGGAAAAACAAUCUGAAUACAAUACUGGUCGUCGAUGACCUACGAUUCGUCUUAACUGAGGAAUGUCCAUAAACCCCUGCCGCAAAUGCCAACCGAAAUGUUCGAGAAGCAUUUUAUCGAUGGGUCAAAGCCAACGAUAAGGCCCGUAUCUACAUUCUUGCCAGAAUGACUGAUGUAUUGGCAAAGAAACAUGAACCCUUGAUGACUGCAAAGGAAAUCUUGGAUUCAUUAAAGGCAAUGUUCGGGUAACCUUCAUCGACUUUGAGACACGAGGCACUUAAAUACGUUUACAACAAGCAUAUGAAGGAGGGGACUGAUUACGCUUGUUUACAUGCGUAAAAAGAAGGACCAUUUGGGAGUGCAAAUUAAUCAAAAGAAGCAAAAAGUCGAAAACAUCCUCAUGGAAGGCGCCAGACGCCUAGGAAGGCUGCAGAAAACUGUUUUUCUUCCAACUUUGCCCUUAAUGAAACGCGUCUUCCAAUGCAUUUUGGUGGUUCCAACCGAUGCAUACGU